AAGGAUCAUUAUCGAAUAAACUUGAACAGGCUGUUGCUGGUCCUUUGGGAUGUGUGCACGCUUGUCUCAUCUUUGUUAUUUCUCCAACUUGUGCACCUUUUGUAGGCUCUGGAGCUUUGUGGAUUUUCUGAAAAUUCGAGUCCGGACUGCUGUGCUGCGAAGCCGGCUUUGCCUUGCAUUCUCCAGGUCUAUGUCAUUUUCAUAACCUCUUGAAACAUGUUUAGAAUGUUGGGAUACAAAAAUAAUGAAAUAUACAACUUUCAGCAACGGAUCUCUUGGCUCUC
rnacentral:misc_RNA from 1 species